rnacentral:lncRNA from 1 species
UUCAAAACUAAUCUGGAUCCUCCUCCACCUCAUUGUUUGUAUGUGCCCUUCUUGCUACUUAUUACCAAGGGCAGUGUUGUCCUUACACUUGGCUUUGGGGCACUGUCCUUGGGAUCAGGACGUGAUUUCUGUGGAGGAGUUCGAUUCCCUCCAGAGGCUGCUGCUUGCUUCGCUUACUUAGAUGAUUGCGUGGGGCUGCUCCCUUCUGCCUCCACCCUGAGCCCUCAUCUUGUAUCUGUGUGCACCUGAGUGAUCCUGUUCCCUCUGACCCCGUCAGCUUGAUGAGGAGCGUAGGUAAUGUGAGGGGCAUGUGACAGCCCUUUUGUCAAGAAGACUCACUUCCUGCCUCAAGUCUGAGCUGAAAGUGGACCACAGACUCAGUCAACAAAAGAUGCAGGGCUUACUUGACUAUAACCUACAGAAGAUGGUUUCUCCGGUUAAAGGCAUAUGGACUCAACAUGUCACCGGAAGGAAAACACCAGCUGGUCUUACAGCUCUUGAACGGGCAGCUCACCCAGAGACACCACGCUGCAGGGCUUCUCUGCACCAACGUUCUUUCAGGGCCUGUGGAGAAAAUAUGGACGUUAGCAGUCAGAAAACAUGCUCGGGACACAGCAUUCGUGGCCGAGCUUCCCACAGCAGUGUGUAUGAACACCGCAGCUCCUCAUGGAACAAUUCUGUCCUCACCAAGCAACAUGAGACAACAAGGAAACACUUUCUGCCCCAGAAAUGUCCUUCCAUCACUUCCAGUUAAAAAUCACAUUUCUCCAAGAUUCUACCCACUCCCAUACACCUCAGCCUGGCUAAGGAAAUGAUUGGAAACUUAAAUCUGAGAGAAAAAGCUGACAUUUUACGAUAACGGGGAAAAGUUAUCCUCAAAUACUGCCUGUGGUAUUAAAAAUGGAAUUCAGAUAAGCUUCUUUGGGCCGCUCUGAUAGACUGGUUUCAUUUUGCUGGAAGAAAUCCUGGGAAUACACCCUCACUCUCAUC